GCGGGUAUCGUAUAACGGCUACUAUGCAUCCUUCCCAAGGAUGAGAUCGGGGUUCGACUCUCCGUACCCGCACCA
rnacentral:tRNA from 1 species